UACGGAGGGUGCGAGCGUUGUCCGGAAUCAUUGGGCGUAAAGGGCGCGUAGGUGGCCCGGUGAGUCUUUGGUGAAAGCGCGGGGCUCAACCCUGCGUCGGCCAGGGAUACUGCCGCGGCUCGAGCACUGUAGAGGCAGGCGGAAUUCCGGGUGUAGCGGUGGAAUGCGUAGAGUCCGGAAGAACACCGGUGGCGAAGGCGGCCUGCUGGGCAGUGGCUGACGCUGAGGCGCGGCAGCGUGGGGAGCAAACAGG
rnacentral:rRNA from 1 species